GGGGAAUAUUGGACAAUGGGCGCAAGCCUGAUCCAGCCAUGCCGCGUGUGUGAAGAAGGCCUUUUGGUUGUAAAGCACUUUAAGCGGGGAGGAGGCAACUUGGGUUAAUACCCCGAUGUUGCGGACGUUACCCGCAGAAUAAGCACCGGCUAACUCUGUGCCAGCAGCCGCGGUAAUACAGAGGGUGCGAGCGUUAAUCGGAAUUACUGGGCGUAAAGCGCGCGUAGGCGGCUUGUUAAGUCGGAUGUGAAAUCCCUGGGCUCAACCUAGGAACUGCAUUCGAUACUGGCAAGCUAGAGUGUGGGAGAGGAAGGUAGAAUUCCAGGUGUAGCGGUGAAAUGCGUAGAGAUCUGGAGGAAUACCGAUGGCGAAGGCAGCCUUCUGGCCUAACACUGACGCUGAGGUGCGAAAGCAUGGGGAGCAAAC
rnacentral:rRNA from 1 species